UACGAAGGUGGCAAGCGUUACUCGGAAUUACUAGGCGUAAAGGGCAGGUAGGUGGUUCGAUAAGUCUGUUGUGAAAGCUCCCGGCUCAACUGGGAGAGGCCAACAGAAACUAUCGGGCUUGAGUAUGGGAGAGGGUACUGGAAUUCCCGGUGUAGCGGUGAAAUGCGCAGAGAUCGGGAGGAACACCAAUGGCGAAGGCAGGUCUCUGGGCUGACACUGACGCUCAUGCACGAAAGCGUGGGGAGCAAACAGG
rnacentral:rRNA from 1 species